rnacentral:misc_RNA from 1 species
GCAAACUUGGUCAUUUAGAGGAAGUAAAAGUCGUAACAAGGUUUCCGUAGGUGAACCUGCGGAAGGAUCAUUAACGAUCGAGGAUGUGCUGGCGACUGUCUGACGUAUGUGCACUCCUUAUCCUCACACACCUGUGCACCUUUGUAGUCUAGCGUUGAAGGGAGCCUUGGUUCUCUGCUACGACUAUGUUUUUAUACACUCUUUAUUAUUUAUAGAAUGUAUCGUGACCUUAAAAAGUCAUAUAAUUUAAAACAACUUUCAACAACGGAUCUCUUGGUUCUCGCAUCGAUGAAGAACGCAGC